rnacentral:ncRNA from 1 species
UGCGGUCAAAAAACAAUGUUUUUUGAAUAUUGGCUUUAGCAACAGCUCCAAAGGAAUGAGUAGGUUUCUAUGCGAGCUUGUGAAUAAAAU